AGCAUUGGUGAACAGAUGUUCCUUUGGAAGAGGGGAAAAAAUAGCGACAGCUGAUGCAGCCAGAAAAGCCAAAGGAGGAGGAUUCCUGCGCUCCCUUGGGGAGCUACCCCACUUCCCAACCGUGUGCAUGUACCGAUGUACCCCUGUACCCACCCAAGGAGUUUGCAUGCUAUUUGAUGGUAAAAUGAGUAAUUUUUAGUUCCAAACGAGCAAAAUUGAAUUCAGAAUGUUUAAAAAGCAGCUUAGUGUUUUAAUAUCCCUUUUUGAUGAAAGUUUAAAACACCUUUCCCAUUGUUUCUGACUUCUUUAAAAUUCCAUGUCAUAUUUCAACAUAAAUAUACAUUAAGCAAUUGAGAGUGGACUGAGGAAUCCAAAUCUUUAAUCUUGCUCUCAUGGUUUACAGCCCACCUGCAUUAGGGAUUUGUUUUGUUUCUGUCCAUGGAUUUCAGUCUUUUGAAGAGUGCUUCACUUUGAGCAUCCUCAGAAAGUGCUAACUGAGCAGCUUGUAGAUGUCAAAUAGCAGGGCAAUGAGAUCACUGCUUAAUAUGUUCUGCAUAAAGGUCAAGUCUUACAGUCCAAAGAAACUAAUGCCCCCAAGUUUCUUCAUGUAUGAGUAUUAAUAAAAUUGUUUUCUGUUGAUAUAAAAUGGAUUGGGAAAAAUGUAAUGGGACAAGAUUAAAGCAUUAAUAUUAAUCUAAUUCAACUUUUAUUUUAGAAACAUCUGUGCGAAUUUCUUGCUCUGUAUACCCCUUGAGGACAGGUC